rnacentral:rRNA from 1 species
UACGUAGGGGGCAAGCGUUGUCCGGAUUCAUUGGGCGUAAAGAGCGUGUAGGCGGCCAGGUAGGUCGGUUGUGAAAACUGGAGGCUCAACCUUCAGAGGUCGACCGAAACCAUCUGGCUAGAGUCCGGGAGAGGAGAGUGGAAUUCCUGGUGUAGAGGUGAAAUUCGUAGAUAUCAGGAGGAACACCGGUGGCGAAGGCGGCUCACUGGGCCGGUCCUGACGCUGAGACGCGAAGGCGUGGGGAGCGAACGGG